AAUAAAGUCUCACCAGUGAAUAAGUUUAAAUCCUUUAGUGAUCCUCCUUCUCCAUCAAGGUUUAGGCCAUCCGAAGAUGCCCCUGAUAUAGAAGAAGAAAUUGCUUUUGAAUCUGACAGUGGCAGUGAGGAGGAAAUUGUCCCAAUAAAUGAAGAGUGCAAUGACUUUGUUGAAAUCAAGGAUGGAUGUAUCUUGGAGGAUCAUAAGAUUGUGAAAAAUGAUGUAGCUGUUUUGAACAAUACUUGGGGUUUGGAGCCAAUCAAUGAGGAGUUUCAAAAGCAAUUUCCUUCUUCAAAAAAGCUAGACAGGCUGAAUUGCUUUAGACCAGACGAGGAGGAAGAAGAAACAGGAGAAUCAAAUUUACAGUUUGCCAAAAAAUUGACAAAAACACUUAGUGGGACAGAAAGAAUUGGUCUUUGCUGGCCAGAGAAACCAUUGGAUCUUCUGGGCCAACAUGUUUCAG
rnacentral:misc_RNA from 1 species